UUAAGUUCAGCGGGUCUUCCUACCUGAUCCGAGGUCAACCUUGGGUAAAAAAGGGGUUUAACGGCCGGAACCCGCAGCACGCCCUGAGCGAUGUGUAUGCUACUACGCUCGGUGUGACUAGCGAGCCCGCCACUGGUUUCAGGGCCUGCGGCAGCCGCAGGUCCCCAACACAAGCCUGGGGCUUGAUGGUUGAAAUGACG
rnacentral:misc_RNA from 1 species